UUGAAAGGGAAACGAUUGAAGUCAUUGGUCCGGAUGGAAAUCCACCUUCCGGAGGCCUUUUCGUAGAGGCCGUGAACCUCCCCGCCUUCCUUGCCUUCGGUUUUGGUGCUUUUAAGGGGUCCUUUCCGUAUGGUAGGUCAACAUCGAUUUUGAUCGUCAUAAAAUGAUCGGAGGAAUGUGGCUCUGAUCUCGUAUCGGAGUGUUAUAGCCUUUGAUAGAUGUGACGAUUGGGAUCGAGGAUUGCAACGAAUACCCUUCUGGGCUAUCCGUCUGACCUCUGAAAGUCGCUCGGGUGUCGAAAGCGUGCUUAUGACAUUCUAGUUGGCGGUCAAAAGGUUAGAGCGUGAUUACAUUCGUUAAGGAUGUUGACGUA
rnacentral:rRNA from 1 species